rnacentral:rRNA from 1 species
UUAAGCGACUAAGCGUACACGGUGGAUGCCUAGGCAAUCAGAGGCGAUGAAGGACGUGCUAAUCUGCGAAAAGCGUCGGUAAGGUGAUAUGAACCGUUAUAACCGACGAUAUCCGAAUGGGGAAACCCAGUGCAAUUCGUUGCACUAUCGUUUGAUGAAUACAUAGUCAAACGAAGCGAACCGAGGGAACUGAAACAUCUCAGUACCUCGAGGAAAAGAAAUCAACCGAGAUUCCCCUAGUAGCGGCGAGCGAACGGGGAACAGCCCAGAGUCUUAAUCAGCAUUAGCAUCAGGAGAACGGUCUGGAAAGGCCGGCAGUAUAGGGUGAUAGCCCCGUAUCCGAAGGUGUUAGUGUUGUGAACUCGACGAGUAGGGCGGGACACGUGUUAUCCUGUCUGAAUAUGGGGGGACCAUCCUCCAAGGCUAAAUACUCCUGAUUGACCGAUAGUGAACCAGUACCGUGAGGGAAAGGCGAAAAGAACCCCGGCGAGGGGAGUGAAAUAGAACCUGAAACCGUGUACGUACAAGCAGUGGGAGCCUUGAUUUAUCAGGGUGACUGCGUACCUUUUGUAUAAUGGGUCAGCGACUUAUAUUCUGUAGCAAGGUUAACCGUAUAGGGGAGCCGUAGGGAAACCGAGUCUUAACUGGGCGAAUGAGUUGCAGGGUAUAGACCCGAAACCCGGUGAUCUAGCCAUGGGCAGGUUGAAGGUUGGGUAACACUAACUGGAGGACCGAACCGACUAAUGUUGAAAAAUUAGCGGAUGACUUGUGGCUGGGGGUGAAAGGCCAAUCAAACCGGGAGAUAGCUGGUUCUCCCCGAAAGCUAUUUAGGUAGCGCCUCGUGAACUCAUCUUCGGGGGUAGAGCACUGUUUCGACUAGGGGGUCAUCCCGACUUACCAACUCGAUGCAAACUACGAAUACCGAAGAAUGUUAUCACGGGAGACACACGGCGGGUGCUAACGUUCGUCGUGAAGAGGGAAACAACCCAGACCGCCAGCUAAGGUCCCAAAGUCAUGGUUAAGUGGGAAACGAAGUGGGAAGGCUCAGACAGCCAGGAUGUUGGCUUAGAAGCAGCCAUCAUUUAAAGAAAGCGUAAUAGCUCACUGGUCGAGUCGGCCUGCGCGGAAGAUGUAACGGGGCUAAACCAUGCACCGAAGCUGCGGCAGCGAUAUGUAAAUAUUGUUGGGUAGGGGAGCGUUCUGUAAGCCUGCGAAGGUGUGCUGUGAGGCAUGCUGGAGGUAUCAGAAGUGCGAAUGCUGACAUAAGUAACGAUAAUGCGGGUGAAAAACCCGCACGCCGGAAGACCAAGGGUUCCUGUCCAACGUUAAUCGGGGCAGGGUGAGUCGACCCCUAAGGCGAGGCAGAAAUGCGUAGUCGAUGGGCAACGGGUUAAUAUUCCCGUACUGGUGAUAAUUGCGAUGGGGGGACGGAGAAGGCUAGGCUGGCCGGGCGACGGUUGUCCCGGUUUAAGGAUGUAGGUGGGUGAAUUAGGCAAAUCCGGUUCACUAUACACUGAGGUCUGAUGACGAGUCACUACGGUGGCGAAGUAGCUCAUGCCCCGCUUCCAGGAAAAGCCUCUAAGCUCUAGAUUAUCAUUAAUCGUACCCCAAACCGACACAGGUGGUCAGGUAGAGAAUACUCAGGCGCUUGAGAGAACUCGGGUGAAGGAACUAGGCAAAAUGGUGCCGUAACUUCGGGAGAAGGCACGCUGGCAUUAGGUGAAGUCCCUUGCGGAUGGAGCUGAAGCCAGUCGAAGAUACCAGCUGGCUGCAACUGUUUAUUAAAAACACAGCACUGUGCAAACACGAAAGUGGACGUAUACGGUGUGACGCCUGCCCGGUGCUGGAAGGUUAAUUGAUGGGGUUAUCCGUAAGGAGAAGCUCUUGAUCGAAGCCCCAGUAAACGGCGGCCGUAACUAUAACGGUCCUAAGGUAGCGAAAUUCCUUGUCGGGUAAGUUCCGACCUGCACGAAUGGCGUAAUGAUGGCCAGGCUGUCUCCACCCGAGACUCAGUGAAAUUGAACUCGCUGUGAAGAUGCAGUGUACCCGCGGCAAGACGGAAAGACCCCGUGAACCUUUACUAUAGCUUGACACUGAACAUUGAGCCUUGAUGUGUAGGAUAGGUGGGAGGCUUUGAAGUGUGGACGCCAGUCUGCAUGGAGCCAACCUUGAAAUACCACCCUUUAAUGUUUGAUGUUCUAACGUGGCCCCAUUAUCUGGGGUGCGGACAGUGUCUGGUGGGUAGUUUGACUGGGGCGGUCUCCUCCCAAAGAGUAACGGAGGAGCACGAAGGUUGGCUAAGCAUGGUCGGACAUCAUG